CGUACACUCCUGCGGGAGGCAGCAGUAGGGAAUCUUCCACAAUGGGUGCAAACCUGAUGGAGCAAUGCCGCGUGAGUGAAGAAGGUCUUCGGAUCGUAAAGCUCUGUUGUUAGAGAAGAACACGUGCUAGGUAACUACUAGCGCCUUGACGGUAUCUAACCAGAAAGUCACGGCUAACUACGUGCCAGCAGCCGCGGUAAUACGUAGGUGACAAGCGUUGUCCGGAUUUAUUGGGCGUAAAGGGAGCGCAGGCGGUCUGUUUAGUCUAAUGUGAAAGCCCACGGCUUAACCGUGGAACGGCAUUGGAAACUGACAGACUUGAAUGUAGUAGAGGAAAAUGGAAUUCCAAGUGUAGCGGUGGAAUGCGUAGAUAUUUGGAGGAACACCAGUGGCGAAGGCGAUUUUCUGGUCUAACAUUGACGCUGAGGCUCGAAAGCGUGGGGAGCGAACAGGAUUAGAUACCCGGGUAGUCCCAUGA
rnacentral:rRNA from 1 species